UGACCGAUAGUGAACCAGUACCGUGAGGGAAAGGUGAAAAGAACCGCGGGAGCGGAGUGAAACAGAACCUGAAACCGUAUGCUUACAAGAAGUCAGAGCACGUUAAGGUGUGAUGGCGUGCCUUUUGUAGAAUGAACCGGCGAGUUAUGUUAUCGUGCGAGGUUAAGCAGGAGAUGCGGAGCCGAAGCGAAAGCGAGUCUUAAUAGGGCGGCAGUACGAUGACAUAGACCCGAAACCGUGUGAUCUAGCCAUGACCAGGUUGAAGUUCAGGUGAAACUGAAUGGAGGACCGAACCGACCCCCGUUGAAAAGUUGGCGGAUGAGUUGUGGCUAGGGGAGAAAUUCCAAUCGAACACGGAUAUAGCUGGUUCUCCCCGAAAUAGCUUUAGGGCUAGCGUCGAGGAUGAGUCUUGUGGAGGUAGAGCACUGAAUGUACGAUGGCCCCAUCCCGGGGUACUGAGUAUAAUCAAACUCCGAAUGCCAUGAGAUAUUCCCGGCAGUCAGACCGUGGGUGAUAAGGUCCAUGGUCAAAAGGGAAACAGCCCAGACCGCCAGUUAAGGUCCCAAAAUGUAUGCUAAGUGGAAAAGGAUGUGGGGAUGCACAGACAACUAGGAGGUUGGCUCAGAAGCAGCCAUCCUUCAAAGAGUGCGUAACAGCUCACUAGUCGAGUGACCCUGCGCCGAAAAUGUACCGGGGCUAAGCAUACUACCGAAGCUGCGGAUUUGUAGUAAUACAAGUGGUAGGGGAGCGUUCCAUGCACGUGGAAGCCAUACCGAAAGGAGUGGUGGAGAGCAUGGAAGUGAGAAUGCCGGUGUGAGUAGCGAGAUGCAGGUGAGAAUCCUGCACACCGAUAGCCCAAGGAUUCCAGGGGAAGGUUCGUCCGCCCUGGGUAAGUCGGGACCUAAGGCGAGGCCGAAAGGCGUAGUCGAUGGAAAACAGGCAGAUAUUCCUGUACCCGCGAUGGAAAUGAAGGAAUGACGGAGAAGGCUAGCAUGAGCCACUUAUUGGAUUGUGGUCGAAGCGAAUAGCAGGUGCAUAGUAAAAUGCGUGCACGGAAUGUAAAACGUGACAGGUAAGCGAAACCUUUGGGGAGUAGCGAAGCAUGCGAGGCCAGCUUCCAGGAAAAGUUUCUAGUGCUGAUUCCAUAGCGGCCCGUACCAAAACCGACACAGGUGGGCAAGGAGAGUAUCCUGAGGUGAGCGAGAGAACUGUUGCCAAGGAACUCGGCAAAAUGACUCCGUAAGUUAGCGAGAAGGAGUGCUUAUGAAAGUAAGCCGCAGUGAAGAGGCCCAAGCGACUGUUUAACUAAAACACAGCUCUCUGCGAAGUCGCAAGACGAAGUAUAGGGGGUGACGCCUGCCCGGUGCUGGAAGGUUAAGAGGAUUUGUCAGUUUCGACGAAGCAAUGAAUUGAAGCCCCAGUGAACGGCGGCCGUAACUAUAACGGUCCUAAGGUAGCGAAAUUCCUUGUCAGGUAAGUUCUGACCCGCACGAA
rnacentral:rRNA from 1 species